AUUGAACGCUGGCGGCAUGCUUUACACAUGCAAGUCGAACGGUAACAGGUCUUUCGGGAUGCUGACGAGUGGCGAACGGGUGAGUAAUGUAUCGGAACGUGCCCAGUAGUGGGGGAUAACUACUCGAAAGAGUGGCUAAUACCGCAUGAGAUCUCUGGAUGAAAGCGGGGGACCGUAAGGCCUCGCGCUACUGGAGCGGCCGAUAUCAGAUUAGGUUGUUGGUGAGGUAAAGGCUCACCAAGCCGACGAUCUGUAGCUGGUCUGAGAGGACGACCAGCCACACUGGGACUGAGACACGGCCCAGACUCCUACGGGAGGCAGCAGUGGGGAAUAUUGCGCAAUGGGGGAAACCCUGACGCAGCCACGCCGCGUGGGUGAUGAAGGCCUCGGUUGUAAGACUCUGUGGGAGGAAAGAAGUAAGGUAGGUUAAGUAAUCCUGCCUGAUGACGGUACCUCCUUAGCAAGCACCGGCUAACUCUGUGCCAGCA
rnacentral:rRNA from 1 species